GUCCCCAGCCUCCACGGGAGGGACGGGCUCAGAGCCGCUGCUCUCGUUUGGGAAGCUUGGAGCCAGGGGCGCAUCCCGGCCGCGGGGGCCGCAGCACCAUCAGCCCUGGCAGCUCUCGCCGGGGCCAGCAGAGGCCGCGGGGCAGCUGGAGGGAGGAGCUGGGUCUCCAACGCCUUACACCCGCCCAGCUCUGCGCGAGGGCUGCCCCAGGCUGCUUGUGCCCAGGCCCCGCCCUUGGAAGUAGCAGUCGGGGACCGCCUGGGGCUCAGGAUCAGCCUGCCUGGCCUGGUUUUCAUACCUCGGAGGUGGAGCCCUCGGCUGCCAGAGGGAGGCCAGGCUGCAGUUAGAGCAAUGGUGAAGUUCUCUGGGGCUUGGACCUCCUCUUUAGACUGCCCCUCUUGGACCCCCUCUUAGCACAGUUGAGCCCUGAUGCUUGAUUGCGGCUCCCUAGGGGGAAGAGAAGGCAGACUGUGUUUCAAAGGGGAUGGAGACCAACAGUUGGAGGUACAACAUUGGUCCACAAAUAAUGAAGACGAGGCAAAUAAGGCUUUUCAAGAGCUUCACAGUAUCUUUUGACCUGGGAUGUGCUGUCCAGUGAUGAAUGGGGCACGUUAACCUUCUGCUCUUCACACUCGGUCCACACCUGGCUGGGACCUCAGCCCCUGCACCACUGCGCAGUAGCUCCUGAGCUCAGUGGACCCACAACCCUGUUCUGGAAUUGGAAACCAUGCUGUGGGGAGGGAAUGUCGUGGAAAGUCUCAGCUGGAAGGUGUUUUACUGAGGAGAGGAGGUUGAUGGUUGUGGUUUAUUCUUAAGUGGAUAUUCAGCCUCAUGACAAACCCAUUGCACAAUAAAGCGUUCCCAUCUAUGGCUGUUUGGCAGCUCAUAUGUGAAAUGAUUUGGGGGGGUUAGUUGAAUUCCUAGCAUCACCCAAACAACCUAGCAAUUGGCGGUCAUCAUUCUCCUUGACAGUUUCAUCAGAGAAGGCAUGGAUUGAACUCGUCACAAAGCUUCAGCUCCCUAGAGUACCUAGAGAUGGGGCCUCUGACAUGCCCUGGGGAAGCCAGUGCUGUUUCUUUUGUGUCCAGAAAGGCCUUCAUCUUCUAGGGCUGUGAAUUCAACAGCAUGCAGUUCAGCAAAAAAUGAUUUACAAACACAAAACAAAUGGUGGUGUUUGGCAUUAUGUAAUGGCACUUUUUUUCACUUGCAGUGCAGGAGCUUUUAAUACCAGCAUGCUGAAACUAACCAAAUUUAGGUUAGUCAGGACCAGGAAGGUCUUUUGAGGAAGCUCAGAGGGAUCUAACCAAGCUAGAUGCAAGGAUUUGAAAAUCUUUUCUGUAGUCUGAAGUUUUCCUUUCAGGAUCCGAAAUCUGUGAGCAGCAGAUGAUCCUGACGACAGUGGAGAGGAAUACUUGGGAAAGUUUACUUAAAGGAGGACAGGUUAGAAAAACAAUCUCUCUCUUCACUGCUUGAAUCAGUCAGCAUGACGCUGACGACGACACAGUUGGAAGAGAAUGCAGCAGGCUCCUUGGUCCUGAGGCAAAGCAGCCCACACAGUCAGUUAAUGUGAGGAGACUGGUCUGUGCUUGGAGGCAGUGUGGCAGGGUUUGUGAGGUGGGGGCCCUGGAUGCAAGUCAGACGAUCUAAUCAAAGCAAUCCUUUUGGUUUCCAGUUCUGUCAAGGGAAUAAAGGGGGUAGGGAGAGUGCCUGCUAAGUUUGAAAGAGGUGCUGCAGGACUGGGCUCGUCUCCAGGAUACAGGGCACUCUUGAGUGUCCCUCUCUGGGAGCGUGUUAUUGAGCCGUUAAGCGAUGAAAAACUUCUCUUGGUGAGGAAGGUGCUCUCUCUCUCUCUCUGCAAGCGUCUCCAGCACCAAGGGGCACUGAUAGAUGGGCUCAGUGCAGUCAAGGGACAGCGAAUUUUCGGAGGCGGGAGUGAAGUGGCUGAGAAGCUGUGGAAGCCUGUGUCCAGGGGGCCUGGAAGGUCAGUCACCUGGUAGCCCAAGCCAGAUGGCUGAUGUUUGUGCUGGGGGCGGGGGGAGGGGGAUUACUGCAAAUAUUUUUACACAUAUUCACACUGGCUUUGUUGGUGCCCCUUUUGUGUUCCCUUUGGGGGAAAUCCAGUCCUGCCCAACACAAGGUGUAUAUACCACUGCAAUCCCACUCCCCCCCCACUCCCAACACAUCUGUGAAUGCCAUGACGUUCUGGCACAAGCAAACAGUUGUGGGUUUCAAAGCACCAUUCUUGACCAGCUCAUGGCUUGAUGGAUACCUCUGUGGGCAGGGGGAACUUCUUCAGAGCUUUAACUGUAACAUCCUCUCCCUUUUGUCCCACUCUAUGUCAUCCUGAGGAAUGCCACCUGGGAGAACUUUCCUACUGGUGAUGUCCCUUGGACCUCCCACUCAUGGUUUGCUUUAGUUUGCAGGGGAGAGGAGACGUAUGUUCCUUUCCCAGAGCUCAGCCCAUCAGCCAAACCAGUGGGAGCCUCUUAGGACUAACAGGAGCCAGUGCAAAUCAGAUCUAAUCUGGUAGGAGCUUUACUGAGCUGGACUUAAUUUUAAGUCACCUGCCCCUGGCCAAGACGGUCAGAACUGAGCUGGUCUUGGAGGAAAGUUACUUCCUCACUGAACUGGUAGGAGCCAUGCAGGAGAAUUUGCUUUGCCCUGGACACACCAUGCUGGGCUGAUAUCCUCUGAGAGUUGUUCACAAAUUACACCAUCCUAGCAAGACCUUUUCUAAAGGGCCAACACUGGAGCCGAUAGCUUUUCCAUAAUAAGUGGCAGAGUUCAUGCCGCUGAACCUAAGGCCAGGCUGGGCCUUUCUCUGCUCAUAGGCUCUGUCUGAAUCCUUUGUGCGUUCAGCUCCACAGCUUGGAUGGUGGGUUCACGUGAUCACCAGAGUUGCUCCAGGAAACUCUGCUUCCUGGUCCUAAUGCUCGGAGACAGUCAUUCUCGUCUCCACCUUCUGGCCCUUUCCAGGAUGGUUUGUAGAGGGAUGGGUCUGGCCAUAAAGUUGCUCACAAUUGGAGCACUGGAAGGUCAGGAAUCUAGAGGCUGCAGCCAAACCACAGAAUCCAAUAGGGCUCAGCCUGCCAGCCAUCACCUGGACGUUAAAUGGAUUGCACAUGGGUUCCCUGAUUACAGACACUGGAAACCCCAGACUUCAGGGGAGACGGAAUUACAUCUCGUAACAGGAAGAGUUUGUGUCCUGAAAACAGCCAGUGGGGGAUAUGAAGGAGGCAGGUAGAUUUAAUUACUAGCAUGGGAUUGAUUAGAGAAGGGCUAUUUGGCGAGGAGAUGAUGGCAUUAGCUGAUAUUUGGGAUCCUUUGGUAACACUAAUAGAUAUAAUAAUAAAUAAUAAAUUAAUAAUGUUUGAAUGUGCCUGUGUGUCAUAGCACCCACAAACAUAAUGUGGGGUUUGAGAGUAUAUCAUAUAUGCAGCCAUGCAAUAAUGUGUGUGAGCAUGUCAUGUUGUGUAUAGUUGUGUGCAAGUCUGUGAAUACAGCUCACACAUUCUCCCUGGCUACUUUGCUCCUUCUCUGUUAGGCUUGUAACCUCCUGAUGAUUGUAUAAAGUUUCUCAGGACACUUCCAGGCUGUUUAUCUGAUACAGCAUCAUGCUCCCAGGGGUUAGGACACUAGCUUGGGGCUCAGGAAACCCCGGUUCAGUUCUCUACUCUGCCACAGGCUUCCUGAGUGACCUUGAACAAGACAAUUAGUCUUUCUGGCCAUCAAAGAUAUUGAGGCAUCUGAUGUCUACUGAUUUCCAUGAAAGUUAGGCGCCUGAAUACCUUUGAGGGUCUGGGACUCAGUGCUGAUCUGUAAAAUGGGGAUAACACCAUGGCUCCACUUCACAGGGGAUGUUGUGAGGAUAAAUACAUUUAAAAUUGGGAGGUGCUCAGAUACCACAGUGAUGGGGGGCAUAGAAGAAUCUAGAUGAUAGGUAGAUCCAAUAUAGUGCAACCCAACUUUCUUCAACAUUCCCGGCCUUCAAUCCAUUGUACUACUCUUCUGAGUAGAUUUGGUACUAGUACUUUAGAAGAGGGGAAUGGAGGUGGGUGGAGGGAGAGCUGAAGCGAGUAAUUAAAUUAGCCACUCACCAUAACAUUUGUGUUGUUUUAAAUAUCCUUCCCUAUGUUACUAAUGACACGUGAGCUCAUGCACAUGGAAAGAAAGUUUAAAAUCUCAACUGUAGAGUAUUGAGUCUGUUUGUUUACUCUUUGCUCCUCAUCCAGCUCGGACAGGGAAACCGUCUUGACCAGUUGUUCCCGUUCUUGGUUCUCUGGCACUUUGAUGCCAUCAAACUAGGGCUCCAGAAGAAGCAGACCUUGUUCCUGGUCCUAGCGGAAAUUCCAGUGGACUCUGUUAGAACCCUUCAGCUGGUCUCUCUAUGUGACGCACUCAUGUUCCCCUUAUACUGAAAUCCCAUUCAUAGCGCAAACUGUGGUGGUAUAAACCAGCAUUGAUUGCAUGUCCCAAUCCAGUGGAAAUUGCAUGCUAUAUACCAGCAUGGACUGCAUGUCACACAAUCCAGUCUAUUCUGUAAAUAUGGUAGAACCUAGGCCAUACAUGGGAAUGGAUGGAAAAAUAUCUGGGAUUGGGAGAAUAGAAGACAUGGCCUGUUCAGAGAAGACAGUUGUUCAGAGUCCUGUUUCCACUCUGACCAAUUUGUAUCACUCAGUCAGUGCAAACUAUCUGGAAUCUGACUGCAAGUGGCCACUAGGGAUUUCCCCUGGUGGAAGGGAUCUGCUGGCAUAAAG